rnacentral:rRNA from 1 species
GAUGAACGCUGGCGGCGUGCCUAAUACAUGCAAGUCGAGCGAACGGACGAGAAGCUUGCUUCUCUGGUGUUAGCGGCGGACGGGUGAGUAACACGUGGAUAACCUACCUAUAAGACUGGGAUAACUUCGGGAAACCGGAGCUAAUACCGGAUAAUAUUUUGAACCGCAUGGUUCAAAAGUGAAAGACGGUCUUGCUGUCACUUAUAGAUGUAUCCGCGCUGCAUUAGCUAGUUGGUAAGGUAACGGCUUACCAAGGCAACGAUGCAUAGCCGACCUGAGAGGGUGAUCGGCCACACUGGAACUGAGACACGGUCCAGACUCCUACGGGAGGCAGCAGUAGGGAAUCUUCCGCAAUGGGCGAAAGCCUGACGGAGCAACGCCGCGUGAGUGAUGAAGGUCUUCGGAUCGUAAAACUCUGUUAUUAGGGAAGAACAUAUGUGUAAGUAACUGUGCACAUCUUGACGGUACCUAAUCAGAAAGCCACGGCUAACUACGUG